AACAUAGAUUACAAUAAAGUGGUUGAAGGCCAACUCUCAUGAGAUAAAACUAAUCGAAAACUAGUGGAAGCUCUAAAGGUAGUUGAGUCCAUCUGACUCCAAGGGCAUAUCGCCGAGCGUAGAUCGUGUCCUCACUCCUGGUCGGAAAAGUACUCUGCAACAUGACACGUUGCAGCCGUGUAGGUCACCAUAUUGAAUAUGCAGGCAAGUCACAAAAGAGAGGGUGAAAAUAUCAUCUAUACUAUAUGCAUAUAUAGCAUGUGGGGCUGUAAGUUUUAGCGAAAAGCAUUUUUUCCUACAACAAGAGAGGGGGGAAGCGAAAAUAAUUACUACGUGUUGGUUGUGAAAUGAGAAGGUUCCACCAACCAUUUCUCGUACCCAAAUAAUAAUUCCCACAUCAUUAAAUUUAUUUGUGUCGAGAAUUCCUGAUAGUUUCAGUUCCUUUGGCUCAAAUUGUCUGUAACCGUGGACACGACAAAUCGAUUAAGUUUGAGUAUUCUACAAAGUUUUGCACACGUUCCCCACAAGAUUUAAUCGCCUCCGUUGAAGUCCUCGCGUUGCACGGUGUUUGAGAACGUAUGAUCAAAACAUGGUCUUCCAACGGGUUCCUUUGAGCCACUGUCGGUGCCCAUCCAUUCCUAUCGUUCUUUUACAUCUCAUAGUAUCGCCCGUCUAGAAUCGCCACGAUGUCCAACCAAGCCAGAGCCCAUAAUGGCUUGUGGCUGUGCAGGUAAGCCUCGGGUCUUGAAGUAUCCAUCCAUCUUUUCGUGCGUGGGUGGAACUUUCCGCGUGAAUACUGGCACUUCUCCAGCAACACCUAGGCUACCGCUAGGUACUCCAGGGUGCCGUUCAACCAAUUUCCACCCCGAGGUAUAUUGCAUCACGAGGCCUUAAAAAUCUUGAAGUCUUGAGAUCUUGGUCAUUAAUUAAGUCUCACAACUCUCACGAUAAACACUGAACCAACCUCCUCUACUAAAAGCAUAGAAAAAAUAAAAUAUUGUCUCACGGACCAAAGUGACUAGGGUUUAUGGGGUGCCUACCACAUGAUACUACGCAAGAACCAAAUUUCCAAGUACCUACUUUGCAUGCAAUGGGUGGAGAAGGUUGAACUAAUGCAAUAAAGCCAUAGGUAAAAACAUGGUCAACGUGAACUUGCCUUGUUGACGGUCUUCAAACUCGAGUGACUCUAAAUAGCAAGCCUCACACUCUGGAUGAUCUAACGAGAUAAACAAUUCACACAAUAAG
rnacentral:lncRNA from 1 species